ensembl:lncRNA
GUUCUUUUUAGUCAUUACAAUUAUAAUGAUGUAGGCCAUACUUUUCAUUUGAAUUAAUUCUUAUAUUCUCAUAUUAAUUAAUGCUUUUUGGAUGAGAUUAGAUAAUCUAAUCUUUACAUAGAUUAUUUAUAAAUUGACCCUUUCCGCUUUGAUUAACGCACACGUUUUGGCGCACGAGUAGGAAAAAUUCAGCCCAUGCAACACCCCAAACGCGAUGCAUCCGCAAAGGGUACACAGUCUGAUUUCCACCAGAUACUGUACUUCAAAACAGGUGCUGGUGAUUCAUUUUCAGAGCAGAAUGUUUCGCCUUGUACAGUUUUAUACAAUGCUAGCUAAGAACAACAGUGAGCUAGCCUACCUACUUAAUUUGUUUUUGAGUUAGUUAGGUGGGCUACUGUAGGCACUUGAAUUAUUUUAUUUAGCAGAUAAUCUAAUUUAGCUUGAACAAUGUAGAUUUGACAUUGUAAUUAAUAUAACGUUUGAUAAACCUGCCAUUUUUUUAUUAGUUGGCUAUGGCCAUGCUAUGUGCCACUCAUUGCCACUUCUUUCAUUGGGAACUUGAACUUCCGUUGCAACAUUGCAACAGUAAAACCAUGCGUUACAUCAAACGCACCGCAAUGCAACUUCGCAUUAAAAACGUACCUUUUUGGAUUGCUCCAUUGACAAUGAAUGACUCCACGGCGCAAUGCAACGAGUUUGACUUAUCUGGUGGACAUCAGGCGAUUCUGAGAGUUGAAGAUCACAGCAAGCCUUCUUGUUAGGCAUGCAUGCCAUGCCAAGAGGCAUUCUGCUUUUCUUCACACUGCACAUCGAAACAAAGUCUGUCAGAUCAGCGUGUGAUGACCUCAUGCUGAGUGCAAUGAGACCAGAAAAUCCCUGCUAAUGAUGGAAAAAGCACUACACGUGAGGCUUCUUAGACACUUAUCAACUUGAAUCUUGGAUUGUGGUGGUCAACUUGAUGCUUGGAAAUACUUUUUGGGAAAAAAUAAGAGUUUGAGCAGAAUGUAUUUUGAGUGACAAUUAUCAUUAUUUGAGUCACAAUAAUAUUUAUCAUAAAAUGAAGUCAUUAUGCAAUUUGUCUCUACUUUUUCUACUAAGUAAGGGUGGC